AUAACUGCUGAUUUAUGCUACGUUGCGGUUUUGUUUUCUUCAGCCAAGCAGCUGCACCUGUGCUAAACAUCUGCAGGUGGCAGGCAGCCACAGCCUUUAUUGGGUGAAUGUUUGGUCUUUACCUGGGGCACAGUUUGAACUGGAUGUUUGACUCAAGCUGUGGUUUUUCCCUCAGCCCCCUGGGUGCAGCACAAGGCUGAGGAGCCGCUGCUGCAGAGCACCCACCACUCCUGCUGGCCCUGGCUCUGCUGCUGGUCAGACCACCCUUGCUCUCUGCAGGGGCUCACAGAGCUCCCUGAACCCUGCCUGUCACCAGACGUGUCAGACGGAUGCAG
rnacentral:lncRNA from 1 species